rnacentral:lncRNA from 1 species
AUAAAAAUUAUCAUCAGAUAAGGAUGAUAUUGGAAUGUCUUUCAUCAAAUUUGAAAGUUGAAGGUGAAUUUCAAAAGCUGCAUCACUGGCUGACAUAACCUUUUUUACACCUGUGAAGCAUUCAAGCUUUACAAUGAAAGAAGCAAGGAGGAUAGAGAAUAUUACUUAAUGGAAAAGACAGCAUUUGUUUCCCCUUUUCUCAUGGUCCUCUUCAACUAUGCACACUCUAAGAAACACAAACAUAAAUCAGACAUAAUUCAGAAUUGCCUUUGAGCAUCAAAGUUUCAGGUAAACUACAUAUUUUAGGAUUCAUAAUUAGGCACACAGUAUUUUUUGGGAGUAGCUAUUUUCUUCUUCCUUUUUGUUGUCCAGUACCCGCAUGGGAGUAAGCUAAUUGUUUGUGUUGCCCUUGGAGAUUCAUGAGAAUUCCACAAGGAACAAAGACGAUGAAAAGGAGAAGAGAGAUUGGCAUUAGGAGGAGAUAACCUCUUUUAGAAGUAUAUCUUGAGACAAUUUAAAGAACAAUAAACAAAAGCAAGCAAUUAGAUUAUACAAAAAUUUCCUUUAUCGUCAUGCAAGCAAAAUUAUUGGUAUUAGACAAGGUUUAAGUGGAUCUACACCUACAGUAGUCUCAGAACAUAUAUCCCAAUCAUAAGUGUCCGUCACUUUAUAAAGUUACCUUUCCACUAACACAGGAUAUGUGAUGAAAAAAGUGCAGUCUCCCUAAACAAUGGUAGAAUAAUGAUGAUAAUUGUAGAAGUAACAACUCCUCCCACCGGCAGUUAGUGAGGACGUAGUUCAACAACUAUGCACUGGGUAGAUAGAAAUCUAGCUAGUCCAUUUGCUAUUUUACCACACUAUAGUUCUUGCAGAAAACCAUGUCCAUAUACUCAAGACAUGGCAAAGUUGAGAGGAAUCUGGAGCCAAAAGGGUCAUUUUUUUCCUCCAAAAUGCAUAAAGGGCCACUCACGAAAUUUUCUUUAAAAAACAUGGAAAAACUCACUGGCUGGGCAGCGAGAAAGAAAGAAAAAUAGAAUACAUAUCUCGUUGAUUGUGCAGCGAGAUUGUCUUAGUAUUUACGUCAUUAACCGCUGUUGAAAUCAUAAAGGAUCUCGCUCCCUCACCAACGAAUUGUCCCUUUUGGUUAAAAAAUUAAGUGGCCCUUUAUGCUUUUUGGAGGAAAAAAGUGGCUUUUUUAACUCCGGACUCGAGUUGAGAGUGUCAAACUGUGAAUAUAAAAGAACCAAGUACUCAAAAAAAUGCAAAAAGUCUUUCCCAACAAAUGUCCUAAAGAUGUGAUCAUUAAUUAGACUACUUAAUCAGCAAAGUACAUAAACUCGUCUCCACCAGCAAUAUGAUGUAUAACUAUCUUUGGUGGCGAUAAGGGCAAAUGGCAACUUAUCAAAGAAACCAAAAAAAAUAAAAAAGUAAGGCAACUUCAAAUGGCAACAACAACAACAACUUCAAAUGGCAGUUCCCAUAAUAAUUCCUUCCCAGAAUGAAAAUAUCCUCAAAGUGGUCAGACGGUAUUUUCCUUUUAGCAUGCCAAGAGAACAAGGAAAAAAACAAAACCACUUAUAUUAGGAUUUAAGAACAUAUGCAAAAAGAGAACAUCUAUCCAAAGAAGGACGAAAAUCAAAAGGGAUUUUUUUAUAAAAUUACCGAAGAUAGAUUUUUUUGAUUAAAUAAUAAAUUUUAUUAAAGUUUGGGCGAAAAAAGACUUGUUUACAAAUAGUACACCAAAAGGUAGAAAACCUACAAAAAGAUAAGGUUUUCUACAAACGACACCCAAUCUUCUAUACAUUAAAGAAUCUCAUGGGUGCACCAAAAAGAAACAAGGGAUAAGAGGUUAUUCCUCAACUAUCGAAAAUCAUUCUCUACACCUUCAAAAGCCCUCAUAUUUCUUCUCUCAAAACAACCCAUAUAAGCGCAAGUGGAGCAACUUUCCACAUCCUACUUACCAUCUUCCACAAAUUAUAUACAGUCGGACCGAUCUAUAACAGUCUCGUUUGUUCUGACAAUUUUUUGGAGGUUGUUAAACACCCAUAACAUUUGAUGUUUAAAAUAUUAUUUGGUUGUUAUAAGCAAAAAUUAUCCAAAAAAUUUCUUUAUUUCUUAAUGUUAUGAAAAGAUCAAAAAAAUUAUUCAAAUUUAAAAUUUUAAAAGAUAUGCAUAUUUCACUAAUUAAAAAUUAGAAAAAACAGAAGUGUGGAUCACACCAAAGAGAUUGGCUCAUGUGCAUCAACAGAGAGGUGUUGCAAGUAGCUCAAACAAAUGGAUGUCUAACAAAAGUGGAGAAGAAAACUUGGGACUUCCAUGUUGGAGGUCUCAAGUUCGAAACCCCUUGCCAGCGAAAGCAAGGGGUUUGCCUUCUGGGUCGAGCUCGUCGUGCCGGGCUUGCCUAGUGCGGGUUACCUCUCCUAUGUGGUUUGCGAGCUAUUGCAUAGGAGCGGGGGUUUUACCCUGUGCGCACCCAAAGGGUAGCGGCUGCGGGUUUCCCUUGUCAUCAAAAAAAAAAAAAAAAACUAAUGAGGAGAGCAACCUCAUUCCAAUCACUGGAAAUGGGUAGUCUCCUUAGUUGGAAUGUAAGAGGCCUGAAUGGGCCAAAUAAGCAAAAAGAGGUAAAGCUCCUUUGCAACCAAGAACAAGUAGGACUGGUAGGCUUGCUGGAAACAAAAUUAAAAAAGGAAUAGGAUAGAUCAGGUAGCAGAAAGCAUGUUUGGAGGAUGGCAAUACCUACAUAACUUGGACUAUCACUACAAUGGGAGAAUUCUUGUUAGUUGGAAGCCAGAUUAUUACAAAGUAUUACCAGUAAGCAUGACAGCCCAAGUUGUAACUUGUGAGGUAGAGUAUGUACCACUGAAACUGAUUUGUUUAAUAUCUUUUGUGUAUGCUUUCAACACAAGAGAAGAAAGGAAGGCGGAAGGAUUUAUGGGUCUCUUUACAUGCAGUACACAGCUCACACAGGAAACCAUGGCUAAUAAUUGGAGAUUUCAAUUCCAUUCCUCAUGUUGGGGAUAGGCUAGGAGGUAAUCUUGUAUCAUUUGCAGAGGUCGUGGAUUUUGCAAAGUGUGUGGAAGAUUGUGGAUUGAUCGAGUUACCUUAUCUAGGUAAUCAGUAUACUUGAAGUGACAAAGGAAGUGAUGAAAGAGUAUAUUCUAAAAUAGAUUGGGCUCUAAUUAAUGAUGAAUGGCUGACUAAUAUGCCCUCAAGUAAGACUACUUUCUUGCCUGAAGGGGUGAGUGAUCACUGUCCAAUUAAGAUAACUUUGACAGAGGAGAGGAUCAGGAAGCAAAGUUCUUUUCUAUACUGUAAUGCAUGGGGUCAAGCACCACAGUUCCAGAGCUUGGUGAAAGUUGGGUGGGAAAUGCCUAUUCAAGGGUGCAAAAUGUUACAGGUAGUUAAGAAAUUGAAGCUAUUGAAAAGAAGUCUGAAGAAAUUGAAUUUUCAAUAUAAUGACAUAAUGAAGAAGGUAGACCAGAACAGAGAGAUGUUAAAGCAGGCCCAAAAAUUGCUACAAGAUCAACCACUCAAUCUGGAGUUUCAGAAAAUGGAAAGGGAUAGAUAUAGACAAUUUAAACAUGUCUCACACCUAGCAGAGAUGUAUUUGCAGCAGCAAAGUAAAGUGACAUGGCUGAAGUUAGGGGAUGACAAUACAAGGUAUUUUUUCUCAGUGAUAAAGCAUAGAAGAUUAAAAUUGACAAUAACUCAACUAAAAGAUGAGAGUGGACAAUGGCAAACUGACCAAGAAAGUAUAGCACAGAUUUUUGUGAACUACUAUCAGAAGUUACUAGGAGAGAAAACAACAACCAGAGUUAAAGCAAAAGGGGUAGUGUUGCAGAAUGGACCUGUCCUUGGGAUAAACCUUCAAAUGCAGCUAAUUGAGCCAUUCACUGAAGAUGAUGUCAAGCAGGCUAUGUUCAAGAUAGACAAAACAAAAAGCCCUGGGCCUGAUGGUUAUGGUAGUGGCUUCUUCAAAGAGGCAUAGGGGACAAUAGGUGGAGACAUAACAGAUGCAAUCUUGGAAUUCUUUCAGAAUGGGCAACUACUGAAGCAAGUGAAUGCCACUAACAUUGCACUUAUUCCAAAAGUAGAGAUACCAGAGCAGGCAAGUCAGUUUAGGCCAAUAGCAUGUUGUAAUGUUAUUUACAAAUGCAUCUCUAAACUGAUUUGCACAAGACUAAAGGGAGUCAUAAGUCACUUAGUAGCAGACAAUCAAGCAGCCUUUGUACAAGGAAGAUCAAUGAUCCACAACAUAUUGAUAUGUCAUGACCUGCUGAGACAUUAUAACAACAUUAUAACAGGAAAACCACUCCUAGAUGUUUGCCCAUUAUCCACCGAGUUUAGAAGGCUGUGAUUGGUCCAAAAGGCGGGUCACAGACGAAUUUCUCGGUUAAAAAAAAAAUGAAGAUAGACCUAAGGAAGGCAUAUGAUAUGGUGAGUUCGGAAUUCCUAGAGGAAGCUUUGCAAGGGUAUGGAUUUCCAGCAAAAUUCAUCAGUUGGAUUAUGAUGUGUGUCAACUCCAAAGUAUACAGUCAAGAUCAAUGGGGAAGGCUAUGGAUAUUUUGAAGGAAAAAGAGGAUUGAGACAAGGAGACCCUGUAUCUCCGUUACUUUUUGUACUAGUUAUGGAGUACCUCUCAAGGCUACUUAAAAGCAUGUCACAUUUGCCAGAUUUCCAGCUUCAUCCUAUGUGUAAAAAUCUUAGAUUGAAUCACCUGGUUUUUGCAGAUGACUUGAUGAUCUUUUGUAAAGGAGAUAUCAAAUCUACUGCUAGGGUUAUGGAGGCUUUUACUACAUUUCAGUGCUACCACUGGGCUUGUGGCCAACAUGGACAAAUCCAGUUUAUUCUUAGCAGGUGUGACUGAACAGGUGAAGGAACAACUACUGGCUAUUACUGGAUUCACACAAGGAAAUUUUCCCAUUAGAUAUUUGGGACUCCCACUCACAUCAAAGAGGUGGGGUAAGCUGGAAUGCCAUCAGCUAGUUGAGAAAAUAACUAGCAGGAUCAAGCAUACUUAUGGAAAACAACUCUCCUAUGCAGGCAGACUUCAAGUGCUACUGGCAGUCUUAUUUUCAAUCCAUAGUUUUUGGGGCUCAGUGUUCAUCCUUCCGCAAAGUGUAGUGAAAGAGGUAGAUAAGAAAUGUAGAGAAUACUUGUGGGGAAGCACUGAGGUCAAAAGGAAAGUAUCAUUGGUUUCUUGGGAGAAAGUAUGUUUUCCAAAGAGGCAGGGUGGACUGAAUAUCAAAGGAUGUGGUAAAUGGAAUGUAGCUUCUGUAGGAAAGCUUCUAUGGCAAUUGGCUAUGAGAAAGGAAUCACUAUGGAUGAAAUGGGUGCAUGGAAUAUACAUAAAAGCAGAUACAGUUUGGUCACAUAGAGCACCAGCUGAUAGUAGUUGGUAUUGGAGGAAAAUAAACUCCCUGAAAGAUAAGAUGCAACACUGGUAUACACAAGGGCAAUUCAACCUUACAGCUAAUGGGAAGUAUUCAAUUACAAGUGGAUAUCGUGAUUUGAUUGGCAGUCAAGAUAAACUUGAGGUAGCUAGAGUUAGUUUGGAACUCUGUAUCACUACCUAGGCAGAGGAUCAUUAUGUGGUUAGCAAUGCAAAACAGAUUGCUCACGAAGGAGAGGCUACUAAAUAUGGGAAUAAAUGUAGAAGACAAUAGAUGCUGCUUAUGUCAACAAGGUAUGCUGGAGACACACAUGCACCUGUUUGUAGAGUGUUAAUAUGAUACUAAGGUAAGAGUUGCGCUGUUACAAUGGGCCAACGUCUCUAUGCCUGCAAGAGAGUUAAAAUAUACACUGAAGUUGAUUAAGUUGAAGCACUGGAAGAAGUUUAAAAAGGAAGUGGUGGCUGCUAUAUGGGGAGCAAUGGUAUAUUACAUUUGGAAAGCGAGGAACUGGAAGCAAUUUAAAGGAGUACACAUACAUCAUGUUAACAUAGUGGAGGGAAUAACACGAGAAAUUGUAGAGAGGAUAGGAAUGUACAAGAAUACAAAACGAGCACAUAGAUGUAGAAUGUUUUGGCAGGAAUUAUGUAAUUAGUUAGAGUUGCUGAGGUCAUUCCUCAAUAUACCUUUAGAGGUACUGAGGUCUGGAUGCUCUUAGAUUGUAAGUAGUUUCUCUUUGUUAAUGGUAAUAUUCACUUUGGUUGCCAAAAAAAAAUAAUUAGAAAAAACUAAUACAUUAUACUAAAUGUUAGCACUUCGUCACCACUUUAUAAUGAUUAUCAAGGGAAUGAAAUCUUUUAAUUAUGGAAGUGUUACAUAAUAUUUUUUUAUCAUAAGUGGUCUAGUAAAGUUUCAAUUUGGUUGCCAAAAAAAAAUAAUUAGAAAAAACUAAUACAUUAUACUAAAUGUUAGCACUUCGUCACCACUUUAUAAUGAUUAUCAAGGGAAUGAAAUCUUUUAAUUAUGGAAGUGUUACAUAAUAUUUUUUUAUCAUAAGUGGUCUAGUAAAGUUUCAAAGUAUUUGGUCAAAAUCUCUAGAUUUAUUUUUGGUAAUCCUCAAGAUUUUAUUUCUAUGAAGAUGAUUGUUAUAUUACCAAUAAAAGAAGAUACUAGUUAUAAUAGAGGAGUAAUUUUACAAAAAGAAUAUUGUUAAUAAAGAUGGAUGUUGUUGUUACGGGUAAAAAGCUGUUAUAGAAGGGGAUAAAAUAUAAUGUAGAAAAUCGAUUCCGAAAAAGAACUUGGCUUUUAUAGUGAAAUGUUAUUUAUAGGGUGGCUGUUAUAGAGAGAUCUUAUUGUAUACUCAUGUAAAGAGGAGCAACAAUUCUGAAAACAAUCUUUCUCUUUUAAAAAUAUAAAGAUGGGAAAAUUUCAAGUUCAUCGCUGUUAAAUAAAGCUCUUAAAGAAUAAAAAUGGAUGUCUUUGUAACACCAAAAAACAAGGGGAAACAACAAAUACUUACUUUACAUAAAUAAAUAAAUCUGAUGUUAUCGUACAUUUUAAUCAUGAAACAGCAAUUUUUGAGUUAUUUGGUAAUUUUGUUUUCUUUCUUAUUUGCUACUUUCUCCUUUUUCUUACCAGUUUAAGUAUAGAAAAGAAUUCUGAGUACUUACGACUUCCAUAUUCAUCUUAGGAAACAAUCAGCAAUCGCAUCUUUCUAAGUUUAACUAGAAAUGCUCGCAAGGGACCAUGACUACGGAUUUGUUAACACAAAAACACAGAGGGAAUCAGCAUUUAAAGGCUGGAUUGUUGCUUCCAACACUUUUUGCCCAAGUCUCUCUUGUAGGGAGGGAAAUCUUUUAUUUUGGAAAACAUCAACGCAACAUCGAUCUUAUUUAGUCACUGUAGGAUUUUCAAAAAAUAAAAGUGCACAAUGAAAAUAUACCUUCAACUUGCUGAAGCUGGUGGGAGUUUUUCUGAAAGUAAUCGUUUGGGUCAGAUUUUACCCUCACAAAGCUACCCACAAUUUUAUCUUCGAAACUUUCAGGGGUCUUCAGAAGAUCCUGAACUAAGCUCCUCUUCAAGUACACAAGUUUAAUGUUUUCAGCAAUAACAGCUGCAAAACAGCUUUUAGGAACAACAGGAACCUUUUUCUUUGGACUCCCUGUACUUUUUCUUCCCUUAGAUGCUAUUAAAACAUCCUCCUCUUUUGAACUGUUAGAAGAUUCAUCCUCUGAUUCAUCAUGGUUCUCACUGAAGUGCACUUCCAACAAAUCAUAGAUUUUUAACCGCGGUAUAACUUUCUUUCCAAAAAGGGAAUGAAGUCGUGCAUCACACAUAACCCUCUUUUUCUUUUGUGGAUUAAGAAGACCAUUCGAAUUUACAUAUUCAGUGACAAUCGCCGACACCUCUUGUUGAGAGUAAGAUCUGCUUGUAUCUUUACCAAUUGAUUGAAGGAAUUCAAUCAAUGGUUUGGAUCCCCAUCCAACAAACUCUAGUUUCUUGAUCCUGACAUUUCUCUUUCUUUUCAAAGAAACAGGUAACUGAUCCUUGACUUCUUCAACCCAAAAGGAGUUCCCAUCCAUGCUGUUGGGAUAAUAUGCCAACACGAGCUUU